rnacentral:SRP_RNA from 2 species
GGUCGGGCCCGGUGGACGGGUGGCUCGUGAAUCUGGUCAGGGCUUGACCGCAGCAGCCAUAAGCGACGUUGUCCGGGCCGCCGGUGUCCUGGCCGUC